GCCUUGAUUUUGAUUUAUUUUGUUUCAUUCAACAAAUAGCAGUUUGUUCAAUCAGUUUAAAUUUAAAAUUCAGACUUAAAGCAUAUUAAAACUGAGGAUGAAACUGUAUCUGGUUCUGGUAACAUUGUUGGCUCUGUUCUUUAGCUCAAGCAAAGCUAAGCAAUAUCUUGUGGAAACUGUAGAUGAAAACCCAGAAGAAGAUGUAAAACAACCUGGGAAUCUAGUUCCAUCUGGAACAGCUAAGUCUGGUGACGACUAUGGAGAAUUCACACGGUUUUUUGGAAAAUUUAAAUAAAUUAUAUUGAAAAAUUUCAAAA